rnacentral:rRNA from 1 species
UGAGGAAGUAUUGCACAAUGGGGGAAACCCGUCGAUGCAGCAACGCCGCGUGGAGGAUGACGCAUUUCGGUGUGUAAACUCCUUUUAUGAGUCAAGAAAAUAGACGGUAGCUCAUGAAUAAGCACCGGCUAACUCCGUGCCAGCAGCCGCGGUAAUACGGAGGGUGCAAGCGUUACUCGGAAUCACUGGGCGUAAAGGACGCGUAGGCUGGAUGCCAAGUCUGAUGUGAAAUCCUAUGGCUUAACCAUAGAACUGCAUUGGAAACUGGUAACCUAGAGUAUGGGAGGGGGAGAUGGAAUUAGUGGUGUAGGGGUAAAAUCCGUAGAUAUCACUAGGAAUACCUAAAGCGAAGGCGAUCUCCUGGAACAAUACUGACGCUAAGGCGUGAAAGCGUGGGGAGCAAACG